rnacentral:rRNA from 1 species
UGGGGAAUAUUGGACAAUGGGCGCAAGCCUGAUCCAGCCAUGCCGCGUGAGUGAUGAAGGCCCUAGGGCUGUAAAGCUCUUUCACCAGUGAAGAUAAUGACGGUAACCGGAGAAGAAGCCCCGGCUAACUUCGUGCCAGCAGCCGCGGUAAUACGAAGGGGGCUAGCGUUGUUCGGAUUUACUGGGCGUAAAGCGCACGUAGGCGGACUUUUAAGUCAGGGGUGAAAUCCCGGGGCUCAACCCCGGAACUGCCUUUGAUACUGGAAGUCUUGAGUAUGGUAGAGGUGAGUGGAAUUCCGAGUGUAGAGGUGAAAUUCGUAGAUAUUCGGAGGAACACCAGUGGCGAAGGCGGCUCACUGGACCAUUACUGACGCUGAGGUGCGAAAGCGUGGGGAGCAAACAGG